rnacentral:misc_RNA from 1 species
GAUGAAGAACGUAGCGAAAUGCGAUAAGUAAUGGGAAUUGCAGAAUUCAGUGAAUCAUCGAAUCUUUGAACGCACAUUGCGCCCGCCAGUAUUCUGGCGGGCAUGCCUGUUCGAGCGUCAUUACAACCCUCAGGCCCCCGGGCCUGGCGUUGGGGAUCGGCGGAGCCCCCCGUGGGCACACGCCGUCCCCCAAAUGCAGUGGCGGUCCCGCCGCAGCUUCCAUCGCGUAGUAGCUAACACCUCGCGACUGGAGAGCGGCGCGGCCACGCCGUAAAACACCCAACUCUUCUGAAGUUGACCUCGAAUCAGGUAGGAAUACCCGCUGAACUUAAGCAUAUCAAUAAGCGGAGGA